GUGAAGGAGGAAACCAGCAACACCCGCUUCAGCGGCCUGUGAUUCUCCCCCAAGCAUCCAAGUUCGUGGUCCCAGCUCCAGCCAUGAUCCAAGCAGCGGAUCCCAGCUUCCUUCCCAAGUCGAAUCCACGUCCAUCCCGUGCGAAAACAGGGAGAGCAACGGUCCCCACCAUCCCGUGAUCCACUCCUUCCGAGCAAUUCAAGCAUCCCAGCAUCACGCAUCCGUCUUCAUCUCCUGCUUCAUCACCGGCAUCUUCCCAAGCCUUGCGAUCCCGCUGCCUCGAGUCCGUGAUCAACGUCCCAGCCAUUCGAGAAGGCUCCUCCCAGCAACCGGUAAUGCAGCUCCUCCGCCUCUGCUCCCUUCCAUUUCUUCAUUCCGCAGUGCCCCAGCCACGGAUCACCGUCAGCUCCCUCCGCCUCUUCCGCAUGCGUUCCCCUCUUCCGUGAUCUGGCGAUCCCGCACCGUGUCCAGCC
rnacentral:lncRNA from 1 species